rnacentral:rRNA from 1 species
AACAGGAUUAGAUACCCUGGUAGUCCACGCCCUAAACGAUGUCAACUAGUUGUCGGGUCUUAAUUGACUUGGUAACGCAGCUAACGCGUGAAGUUGACCGCCUGGGGAGUACGGUCGCAAGAUUAAAACUCAAAGGAAUUGACGGGGACCCGCACAAGCGGUGGAUGAUGUGGAUUAAUUCGAUGCAACGCGAAAAACCUUACCUACCCUUGACAUGUACGGAAGCCUCGAGAGAUUGAGGCGUGCUCGAAAGAGAGCCGUAACACAGGUGCUGCAUGGCUGUCGUCAGCUCGUGUCGUGAGAUGUUGGGUUAAGUCCCGCAACGAGCGCAACCCUUGUCAUUAGUUGCUACGAAAGGGCACUCUAAUGAGACUGCCGGUGACAAACCGGAGGAAGGUGGGGAUGACGUCAAGUCCUCAUGGCCCUUAUGGGUAGGGCUUCACACGUCAUACAAUGGUACAUACAGAGGGCCGCCAACCCGCGAGGGGGAGCUAAUCCCAGAAAGUGUAUCGUAGUCCGGAUUGCAGUCUGCAACUCGACUGCAUGAAGUUGGAAUCGCUAGUAAUCGCGGAUCAGCAUGUCGCGGUGAAUACGUUCCCGGGUCUUGUACACACCGCCCGUCACACCAUGGGAGCGGGUUUUACCAGAAGUAGGUAGCUUAACCGCAAGGAGGGCGCUUACCACGGUAGGAUUCGUGACUGGGGUGAAGUCGUAACAAGGUAACC